CCACUUGGCAACUUCCAACUCUCAUCAUCGGGCUCUCACAAAGAUCCUCACACUUUACCUCUUGUUAAAGGCCAGCUAGUACUUAAAAGAACCCCAGUAGAUUGCUUCUUUCAACAGCUUUUGAAGCCGAUAAAAAAAGAAUGUGUCAAAAUGUCUGACAACACCAACCACCAAGAGACAGAUGAAACUGCAGAUACAAGCCAGUGUUAUACAUCACUAAGCAGGCAUGCUUUGAGAGCAUGUGUGUCUGGGGAACUCAGCUUGCUGUAAUUCCAUAAACAUUCGUCUUCCCUGCAGAAUCAUGAGGCUGAAGGGAAUCAAUCAGGUAUGAUACAAUCUGCAGCAAAAAUGCUGAGAUCCAGUCCAGUGACUUAGGGGCACACCUUCUACCUCGCCAAUAGGAUGUUUGUGAAGCUGGUCCUUUAACACAAAGACCCUCAUUUCAUGUUUGGCCAGUAGAAAGAGAAAAGGCUGUGGUGAUGCACAAACUUUAAUACAAGUUCAAAAACCUUUCUUCUUUUUUUUUAAUUCUCCAUUAUAUUAGAAUAUAUAACAACACUACAUCCACAGUGCACCUAAUGGUUUUACAGGAAGGAGUUUCUGGAAGAAACAGCUAUUCCAGUUUUUCUUUGACCAUAUUCUUUCUCUCAAAUAUCAUGUUUAUCAACCAUGCUUUAAGUUUUCACAUGUGGUAGAAAGCUUUUUCUAUAGAUGGCGCUCACGAGAUCCAGGUAAGCGUGCAAUGAUAAUUUUGGUAUUUGCUUGUUUAAAACAGAGUUCAUGUCAAUGAUAAACAAACCUCUAAAGACAUAUUCCAGGCAAAGGGAAUGUUUGUGCGGAUUCCAAUACUCCAUCUCUCUCCAACAGGCUGCUACCCAGCCUUUUCACAAUCAGCAUAAGAACUCACAUAUGUUUCCAUUUUGUUUCCAUAUUUUCCUUUUUGUAAACCAAAGAGGUCCAUAAGAGAUUAUGCAAUGAAAGAAAUUUUCUCUGC